GCGAGGAUGAAGAAGAAAAUCAUUUGGAUUCCCAUUGACUUGUAAAACAUGAGAUCUCUAACCAGCUACUUCUGACUCAU
rfam:Hordeum vulgare subsp. vulgare, WGS project CAJW01000000 data, contig: morex_contig_1567590